UAUUUAUAAUAUUUUUUUGAAGCAUAAUGAUAUUUAUACAUCAUAAAGUGAUAAAGCUAUUUGUUACAUGUAAAGAGAGAAAACAUGUGUGAAAUUGUCAAGUUUGUUGUUAUGAUUGUCUUUCUUUUUGUAUUUUUUCUUUCAGCGGACAUGGAUUAUUCUAAAAAAAGUUAUAAAUGCCGAACAGACAUUGAUUGUCGAAAUCACUAUUGUACAAGAGCCGUGAACCAAGGUGUGUGGAUCGCUUAUGUAGAUGUGUUGAACCAAUGUUGGAUUAAAUUAUGUUCCCACAUACUUCGUUAUUUGAAUAAUCUUAUAUAAUCUGUUCUUGUAAGUUGAUUGUAUUGAAAUAAGGCAAAAGAUAGUAUCAUUUAGAUUGUCUUCUUCUCUUUUAAUUUUAAAGAUGUCUCCCUGAACUUUAAUUAAGAUAUCAAGUUUUCUUUCCA